rnacentral:tRNA from 1 species
GUUUUAAUAAUUUAAACAAAAUAUUGGUCUUGUAAACCAAAAACAGGGCAACCUUUAAAACA